UGGGGAAUUUUGGACAAUGGGCGAAAGCCUGAUCCAGCAAUGCCGCGUGUGUGAAGAAGGCCUUCGGGUUGUAAAGCACUUUUGUCCGGAAAGAAAUCCUUGGCUCUAAUACAGUCGGGGGAUGACGGUACCGGAAGAAUAAGCACCGGCUAACUACGUGCCAGCAGCCGCGGUAAUACGUAGGGUGCAAGCGUUAAUCGGAAUUACUGGGCGUAAAGCGUGCGCAGGCGGUUUGCUAAGACCGAUGUGAAAUCCCCGGGCUCAACCUGGGAACUGCAUUGGUGACUGGCAGGCUAGAGUAUGGCAGAGGGGGGUAGAAUUCCACGUGUAGCAGUGAAAUGCGUAGAGAUGUGGAGGAAUACCGAUGGCGAAGGCAGCCCCCUGGGCCAAAUACUGACGCUCAUGCACGAAAAGCGUGGGGAGCAAACAGGAUUAGAUACCCUGGUAGUCCACGCCCUAAACGAUGUCAACUAGUUGUUGGGGAUUCAUUUCCUUAGUAACGUAGCUAACGCGUGAAGUUGACCGCCUGGGGAGUACGGUCGCAAGAUU
rnacentral:rRNA from 1 species